AGAACUGUAGAGAAAUCAAAGAAAAAUUGUUGAAUUCUGAUGAAUUUUGGUGGAUUGGUGAAUUAGGGUUUUUGAAUGUUCUUGGUGAUUUUCUGUUUUGAUCUAACUGUGAUUCUGUUUUUGGUGAUGUGUCACUGAUUCUCUGGAUCUGUGCAGAUUUGAUUCUAUUUAUAGGCUGCCAUGUGUAUUCCUGGACCAAUGGGGUAAUGCCACCUGGAACUAGACUUUGUUUGGCUCGGCCUUGGACUUUUGACUUUAAGGACCUUUCUGCAAAAAUGUAAAAAAUUGGGGACUGGACUGCAAAUAAGAAAAAUGGACUAAAAAUGCAAUUUUAAAAAGUUUUGGACUAAAGUGCAAUUCUGGAAAUUGUUUGAGGGACUAAAAUGCAAAAUGAAAAUAAAAUGAAUUAAAAUUGGUAAUUUGACCAAAUGUAAAGUAAAACCUAAAAUAAAAUCAACAAAAGGAC
rnacentral:lncRNA from 1 species